rnacentral:lncRNA from 1 species
CUUCUGCUUCUGAUUAUAGGUCCAUGUGUGUUAGAGAAACUAGUUAAUAGGUUUGACUCCUACAAAAAGAUAGAGACGCUCAACAAGGUUGGUUUGAGUCUUGGUUCACUCGGUCUCCCUGGAUGACUACCCUACUCUCUGCUAUAUGGCUGGGCCAUUACUAAUAAUUUUCUUGGUUUUAGUUUUUGGACCCUGCGUGACAAACAGGUUAAUUGCUUUUGUUACAAAUCGAGUGAGUGCUGUGCGGUUGAUGGUUCUGAGACAACAGUACCAGUCAGUUAGGACAACUGGGAGGUCAAAUGAGAAACUUAACACUAAAAUCCUAAGGUUAGAAUUUGGUAGUAGAAGGAGAGGGGAAUGAGAGAUAAAAUUUUAAAUUAACUCAAAACACAGUAACAAGAUCUGACUGAGGAAGACAGAUGGCUAAAAUUGCAGAAGAACUGAUACUGACACAGUUGUUUUAUCACCAGUGUGAGCAGUCGUUCUGUCUCAGUGAUGUUUGUUUAAGCCCCUUAUACCUUGCAGAGAGCAUUCCAGGAAACCUGCCGGCCCAAAGCCUAACCAGAUGUGUUUCAGAUGCAGAUGCUUCAUCAACUCCGACCCACAUUUACUCUGACAGGACAAGAGAUAAGAUUUGCUCUCGGAAUAAUGAGGACUCAAAGACCCGACCCUUCUCCUGAUUUAGUAGCUUUGUUCCAGAAAUGGGGGGCCAUAAAACCUUUUGGCGUUCCCCUCAUCUCCUGGGGCCAUAAAACCUUUUGGCGCCCUGGUGCCCCCUUAUCCUCUAGAGUCAUAAAACAAUUAGACAUCUUACAACUCUGUGAUAUCUCUGGCAUUCCUUUCUGAUAUCCCCUUUUUUCCCUGAGGCUCGAGGCCUCUCCCCUUUAAAAAGCCCCUCUCCCAACCACUCGGGAUCGAACAUCCCUGUCUCCUGCAUGGGACACAUGUUGAUCCGGAGAUCUCUGUAAUAAACCUCACCUUUUGUGUAUUACAUUC